AUGGCAAUGAAAUUGGACAUGGAAGAAGGUUGUCGAACACCAAGACACAGUGGAUCUCGGAUACUGUCAGCCGUAGCAUGUCCAGGAGCACCAAAAAAGAAGGCGGCGAUUAGUUCAACGAAGAUGAAAGUUCCACCAAAAAAUGGUUACUUCAUACCCCCUGAUUUGGAGCUGAUUUUUAGAGUUCGGCCUACAAGGGAAGCUUUUGCUUAG